GGCUCUCACGAGGUGGCCGACAAAACCGUGGCUCAGAUCUAGCUUUUUUUCUUCGACAGCUCUCUUGUUCUCCAAACUAAUAAUAAAGGUCGCAUCUGGGUUUGCUUCACCAGCUUCUACUUCAAGAGGUGUGUUCAUUGGAUUGAUGGAUGCCCUCCCUUGAAGAAUAAUCUGAUCAUUUGUGUUGCAAAGAACCCAGCCAAUUCCUGCACAUUCAGAAGGCUUGUAGCUCGUCUGGUCUGCAAAGGCACUCUCUAGUGCAAAUGUGUGACAAGUUUGAUCGAUGCCUUGACUAGAGCAUCGAGAGAGUCGAAGAAGAUAAAGAUUAAAAACAAACAAAAAGUCAAUAUUUGUGUUAUAGUAAUAUUAUGUUUGUAGUUUCCAAGAACAUAUUAGUACACUGACAAUACUAGAAGGUGUGUUCCAACUCCAUGUAUAAUUUAUUUGAACUCCUUACCCGCAUAAUUUUGGGCCACUUGGCAUUUAUUUUUUUAGUUAGAAAUAUAUUAUUCUGUCAUAACAUAUUAACAUGUCAUUUAAAAUAUCGAAUUCAGUUGAUUUUGGAAUAAUUAUAAUUUGGAACGAAAAACACAAAGAACAAACAAUCCAACGAGCAUAAUUUUGUUGACAUUGAGAAUUAUCAAAAAGAAGAAAACUAGGAUUACACAGUAUGCAAUUGGACCUCAUUAUGGUCUCAGUAAUUGAUUGUCUCAGGCUGACUCGGCCAUGUCGCUAGACCAUGACAUCGAAUGCUCCCCUAAUUCAAUUCCCCGGUCCAACUUUACCGAUCCAUUGCCACAAAAAGCAAAUCUGAACUCUUCUGACCAAAAAGUUCUGUCCUAAGAUUUCUCUUUCUUCUUAUUUCUGCAAGAAAGAUCAAAACUUUUGUGCACUAAUUAACACAUCUCUGCACAAGUUUGAGUUGUCACUUUCAACUUUUCUUCUAAGAAUAGAGCAUGCUUGAAGUUAUCCGAUCUUGUUCAAAACGUUGAUAGGCUCGUCUAGUUCUCAGAAACAA